rnacentral:rRNA from 1 species
AUUGAACGCUGGCGGCAUGCUUUACACGUGCAAGUCGGACGGCAGCACAGAGAAGCUUGCUUCUUGGGUGGCGAGUGGCGAACGGGUGAGUAACAUAUCGGAACGUACCGAGUAAUGGGGGAUAACUAAUCGAAAGAUUAGCUAAUACCGCAUAUUCUCUGAGGAGGAAAGCAGGGGACCUUCGGGCCUUGCGUUAUUCGAGCGGCCGAUAUCUGAUUAGCUAGUUGGUGGGGUAAAGGCCUACCAAGGCGACGAUCAGUAGCGGGUCUGAGAGGAUGAUCCGCCACACUGGGACUGAGACACGGCCCAGACUCCUACGGGAGGCAGCAGUGGGGAAUUUUGGACAAUGGGCGCAAGCCUGAUCCAGCCAUGCCGCGUGUCUGAAGAAGGCCUUCGGGUUGUAAAGGACUUUUGUCAGGGAAGAAAAGGCUGUUGCUAAUACCGACA